AACGUACGCUGGCGGCACGCCUAACACAUGCAAGUCGAACGAAGUAGCAAUACUUAGUGGCAGACGGGUGAGUAACAUGUAGGUAUCUGCCCUUUGGCCUGGAAUAACACGAGGAAACUUGUGCUAAUACCGGAUAAGUCUUUACGGAGAAAGCUUUAUGCACCAUUGGAUGAGCCUGCACUUGAUUAGUUUGUUGGUGGGGUAAUGGCCUACCAAGACUGUGAUCAAUAGCUGAUUUGAGAGGAUGAUCAGCCACAUUGGGACUGAGACACGGCCCAAACUCCUACGGGAGGCAGCAGUGGGGAAUCUUGCACAAUGGAGGAAACUCUGAUGCAGCGAUGCCGCGUGAGUGAAGAAGGCCCUUGGGCUGUAAAGCUCUUUCGUCGGGGAAGAAAAUGACUGUACCCGAAUAAGAAGGUCCGGCUAACUUCGUGCCAGCAGCCGCGGUAAUACGAAGGGACCUAGCGUAGUUCGGAAUUACUGGGCUUAAAGAGUUCGUAGGUGGUUGAAAAAGUUAGUGGUGAAAUCCCAGAGCUUAACUCUGGAACUGCCAUUAAAACUUUUCAGCUAGAGUAUGAUAGAGGAAAGCAGAAUUUCUAGUGUAGAGGUGAAAUUCGUAGAUAUUAGAAAGAAUACCAAUUGCGAAGGCAGCUUUCUGGAUCAUUACUGACACUGAGGAACGAAAGCAUGGGUAGCGAAGAGGAUUAGAUACCCUCGUAGUCCAUGCCGUAAACGAUGUGUGUUAGACGUUGGAAAUUUAUUUUCAGUGUCGCAGGGAAACCGAUAAACACACCGCCUGGGGAGUACGACCGCAAGGUUAAAACUCAAAUGAAUUGACGGGGACCCGCACAAGUAGUGGAGCAUGUGGUUUAAUUCGAAGAUACGCGCAGAACCUUACCAACACUUGACAUGUUCGUCGCGACUCUAAGAGAUUAGAGUUUUCGGUUCGGCCGGACGAAACACAGGUGCUGCAUGGCUGUCGUCAGCUCGUGUCGUGAGAUGUUGGGUUAAGUCCCGCAACGAGCGCAACCCUCACUUUUAGUUGCCAUCAUUAAGUUGGGCACUCUGAAAGAACUGCCAGUGAUAAGCUGGAGGAAGGUGGGGAUGACGUCAAGUCCUCAUGGCCCUUACGUGUUGGGCUACACACGUGCUACAAUGGUAUCUACAACAGGAAGCAAGACUGCGAAGUUAAGCAAAUCCCUAAAAGAUACCUCAGUUCGGAUUGCACUCUGCAACUCGAGUGCAUGAAGCUGGAAUUACUAGUAAUCGUGGAUCAGCGUGCCACGGUGAAUGCGUUCCCGGGUCUUGUACACACCGCCCGUCACACCAUGGGAGUUGGUUCUACCUUAAGGCAAGGUUUCAAACCCUUGACCACGGUAUAGUCAGCGACUGGGGUG
rnacentral:rRNA from 1 species